UUACCUAAUACAUGAUCAUAAUAUUAAUUGUACAUGUUCAAUAUGCACAGGGCCGUAGCAACAUGAGGACAUUGAGGUGCUGACCUCGGUAACUGUUUCUAAUGAGAAACAUGAAUAAAAUAGAUUCUUGAUCUGACUGAGUUCUAAUCGCUUGUCUUUGAAAACGAGUGGAAUCAAGAAAAGUGGUUUGUUAAGUUUGCCAAUGCAUCCUGGAUUUGCCUUUGAAGCAGCACUUUCACCACUAUCGCAAAUGGCUAACUCCUCCCUCUCACAGCACUGGCCGAGGGCCUGAGACGUGAAACGACCUACCCCAGCUCGUAGUCCGCUCAAGUAGACACUAGAGACGCUGCUGACUGUGUUUGCGAGAUGCCAGACAAAAGUACAUUUUAAAACCGACCAGCAUCUCCUGCCGUGUCUACAGACAUCCCCAAACAAAUACAAGUUGAAUCUCGGAGAAUGAGUACAAAACUAUUAAAUAGUCGCUUAUAGAUAUGUCAGUCAGUCAUGUUUUUCCGAUUACCCUCCACAAACACAGUAACAGACAGAGUCACAAUCACACAGGUAUCCAUAACAUCAAUGCGUUAGUCUUACAGUCAAUACGUCACAAACUCAUUGCUAUAACACAAUGUGAAAGAAUAGUAGAACUUCCAUUCAUUUGAAAUAAAUAAGCAAUACAUUAGUAGUAAUCUGUCAUCAUGUCUGUAGGAUUAUGAAGCAGAGACUUCAAUUGCAGUAAUGUUGAAGGGAUCUGGGUAGUGUAAGUAAUGUUGAAGGGCUCUGGGUAGUGUAAGUAAUGUUGAAGGGCUCUGGGUACUGUAAGUAAUGUUGAAGGGCUCUGGGUAGUAUAAGUAAUGUUGAAGGGCUCUGGGUAGUAUAAGUAAUGUUGAAGGGCUCUGGGUAGUGUAAGUAAUGUUGAAGGGCUCUGGGUAGUAUAAGUAAUGUUGAAGGGCUCUAGGUAGUGUAAGUAAUGUUGAAGGGCUCUGGGUACUGUAAGUAAUGUUGAAGGGCUCUGGGUAGUAUAAGUAAUGUUGAAGUGCUCUGGGUAGUAUAAGUAAUGUUGAAGGGCUCUGGGUAGUAUAAGUAAUGUUGAAGGGCUCUGGGUAGUAUAAGUAAUGUUGAAGGGCUCUGGGUAGUAUAAGUAAUGUUGAAGGGCUCUGGGUAGUAUACGUAAUGUUGAAGGGCUCUGGGUAGUAUAAGUAAUGUUGAAGGGCUCUGGGUAGUAUAAGUAAUGUUGAAGGGCUCUGGGUAGUAUAAGUAAUGUUGAAGGGCUCUGGGUAGUAUAAGUAAUGUUGAAGGGCUCUGGGUAGCAUAAGUAAUGUUGAGGGGCUCUGGGUAGUAUAGGUAAUGUUGAAGGGCUCUGGGUAGUAUAAGUAAUGUUGAAGGGCUCUGGGUAGUAUAAGUAAUGUUGAAGUGCUCUGGGUAGUAUAAGUAAUGUUGAAGGGCUCUGGGUAGUAUACGUAAUGUUGAAGGGCUCUGGGUAGUAUAAGUAAUGUUGAAGGGCUCUGGGUAGUAUAAGUAAUGUUGAAGGGCUCUGGGUAGUAUAAGUAAUGUUGAAGGGAUCUGAGUAGUAUAAGUAAUGUUGAAGGGCUCUGGGUAGUAUAAGUAAUGUUGAAGGGCCCUGGGUAGUGUAAGUAAUGUUGAAGGACUCUGGGUAGUAUACGUAAUGUUGAAGGCCUCUGGGUAGUAUACGUCAUGUUGAAGGGCUCUGGGUAGUAUAAGUAAUGUUGAAGGGCUCUGGGUAGUAUAAGUAAUGUUGAAGGGCUCUGGGUAGUAUAAGUAAUGUUGAAGGGCUCUGGGUAGUAUACGUAAUGUUGAAGGGCUCUGGGUAGUAUACGUAAUGUUGAAGGGCUCUGGGUAGUAUAAGUAAUGUUGAAGGGCUCUGGGUAGUAUACGUAAUGUUGAAGGGCUCUGCGUAGCAUAAGUAAUGUUGAAGGGCUCUGGGUAGUAUAAGUAAUGUUGAAGGGCUCUGGGUAGUAUAAGUAAUAUUGAAGGGAUCUGGGUAGUAUAAGUAAUGUUGAAGGGCUCUGGGUAGUAUAAGCAAUGUUGAAGGGCCCUGGGUAGUAUAAGUAAUGUUGAAGGGCUCUGGGUAGUAUAAGAAAUGUUGAGGGCCCUGGGUAGUGUAAGUAAUGUUGAAGGACUCUGGGUAGUAUAAGUAAUGUUGAAGGGCUCUGGGUAGUAUACGUAAUGUUGAAGGGCUCUGGGUAGUAUAAGUAAUGUUGAAGGGCUCUGGGUAGUAUAAGUAAUGUUGAAGGGCUCUGGGUAGUAUAAGUAAUGUUGAAGGGCUCUGGGUAGUAUAAGUAAUGUUGAAGGGCUCUGGGUAGUAUAAGUAAUGUUGAAGGGAUCUGGGUAGUAUAAGUAAUGUUGAAGGGCUCUGUGUAGUAUACGUAAUGGUGAAGGGCUCUGGGUAGUAUAAGUAAUGUUGAAGGGCUCUGGGUAGUAUAAGUAAUGUUGAAGGGCUCUGGGUAGUAUAAGUAAUGUUGAAGGGCUCUGGGUAGUAUAAGUAAUGUUGAAGGGCUCUGGGUAGUAUAAGUAAUGUUGAAGGGAUCUGGGUAGUAUAAGUAAUGUUGAAGGGCUUUGGGUAGUAUAAGCAAUGUUGAAGGGCCCUGGGUAGCAUAAGUAAUGUUGAAGGGCUCUGGGUAGCAUAGGUAAUGUUGAAGGGAUCUGAGUAGUAUAAGUAAUGUUGAAGGGCUCUGGGUAGUAUAAGUAAUGUUGAAGGGCUCUGGGUAGUAUAAGUAAUGUUGAAGGGCUCUGGGUAGUAUAAGUAAUGUUUAAGGGAUCUGGGUAGUAUAAGUAAUGUUGAAGGGCUCUGGGUAGUAUAAGCAAUGUUGAAGGGCCCUGGGUAGUAUAAGUAAUGUUGAAGGGCUCUGGGUAGUAUAAGUAAUGUUGAAGGGCUCUGGGUAGUGUAAGUAAUGUUGAAGGGCUCUGGGUAGUAUAAGUAAUGUUGAAGGGCUCUGGGUAGUAUAAGUAAUGUUGAAGGGCUCUGGGUAGUGUAAGUAAUGUUGAAGGGCUCUGGGUAGUAUAAGUAAUGUUGAAGGGCUCUGGGUAGUAUAAGUAAUGUUGAAGGGCUCUGGGUAGUAUAAGCAAAUUUGAAGGGCUCUGGGUAGUAUAAGCAAAUUUGAAGGGCUCUGGGUAGUAUAAGCAUUGUUGAAGGGCUCUGGGUAGUAUUACUUAGCCAGCUAGAAGGAUGAAGUAAGAUGGUAACGUUAAAAGGAGCCCACCUCAGCAGUAGCAACAAAUAGGCUACUAAGCUCUCAUAAGAACUUUGCUUUACAAAGAUUAGGCUACUAAGACAGACAGUGAUGUGGCACUCAGUGGUGAGGCUGAUGGAGGCUGCAAUGCAUGCAGGAGGAAGUAGAGAAAACAAAGAGAGAGAGAGGAAGCAAGGCGGAGAGAGGUUAAUACAUGGUUCCCAAACUUAGGGUUGGGGUCCCAUGUGGGGUCCCCUGACUAAAUCUGCAUCAAUGAAGAUAGGAACUAAAAGAAAAGAAGAUGUGUUUAAAUAUGAACAUAUUCACAUGGCCUAUCUUCCCCGUAGGCCUACAUUUAAAUGCACUCAAAAUGCUAACAAUGCAGGUGUAAAAUAGUCCUACAUCUCCUUUAUAUCACUGGUUGUUCUUCUUAUCUCGUCACCACGGAGUUUAUAGUUUACCUAUUACACAUCUUUUUAACCACAACAUCACUGAUAUUAAUACAGAAUCCUUAGUAAUAUUCAAAUCAUUCAUGAGAAUGUGACAACAUGAUCAUCUGUGUGCUCCAUUGAUAUCUGUUUGUGCGGAGCUUGAUUAGUAAUGCCUAGUAAUACAAAUGUGAACGCAAUGUCAGUUGAGAAAAGCCAUAUCUAUGUAAAUAGAGGAUGAAUUACACAUUUUAAUAUGAUGCUUUUGAUAAUAUGCUUUUUUCUAUUCUUUCAUUAAUGAGUGAAGAAUAAUGAGAUGCCAAUGAAUGUUUUAACUAACCUGUUCUGAAGACUGGAACAAGUUUGAAUCCUGUUGGUACUUCGUCUCUUCUGAGAGAAAAACCUGGAGUGAGAGCAGACUGGACUGUGUGGAGAGAGGAGCAGACCUGGUGAUCGUAAACAGCAGAGAGAAACAGAGAUUUCUCUUUAGCCUCAACACGAGAUUCUGGAUGGGUUUGACUGACAGAGAGACUGAGGGGUCCUGGAAAUGGGUUGACGGGACACCACUGAUAACAAGUUAUUGGAUAAUCGACCAGCCUAAUAAUGGACGAAGUCUUUCAAGCCUUCCGGAGGAGGACUGUGUUGAAUUACAAACUGGACAUGAUCAGCCUGAAAAGUUAUGGAAUGAUUUAAAUUGUGCACAAAAACGUAUGUGGAUUUGUGAGUUGUGUAACAAUAACCUACUGUAACAACUACCCGUCUAUCUCUCUCUCUCUCUCUCUCUCUGACUCUCCCGCUCUCAUUCUGUCUCCAUCCCUACUCAUUUAUGUUCUUUUCAUUCUGAACAUAUGAAUCAAAUUCCCAUUUACAGUACUUCCUGGGAUGCAUUAGUAGCUUCCUGUCUUCAGUAGUUAAAUGAUGGACACAUCAGACACAGACAAUGAUUGAGACACAACAACAGCUGCAUUAGAACGGACAGACUCCUGAUAGGUGCACAUCAGAUAAGUGUGAGACCUGGGUUCAAAUACAACUUGAAAUUUUUCAAUAUCUUUGAGCGUUUGCUUUAGCCUGCCUUCAGAGCCAGGUGGGUACUGGGGCUUUUCUGUUGCAACAGAAGUAUCUUAAAUGAUUUCAUACAGAGAGGCAUUCUGGCAGUACUCCACCAUAAUUUGCAAAUAAAUUCAUUAGAAAUCUUACAAUGUGAUUUUCUGGAUUUUUUUUUCUAAUUUUGUCUGUCAUAGUUAAAGUGUACCUUUGAUGAAAAUUACAGGCCUCUCUCAUAUUUUUAAGUGGGAGAACUUGCACAAUUGGUGGCUGACUAAAUACUUUUUUGCCCCACUGUAUAUUAAAGUGAGCAAUAAGAAAUCAAUCUUUGUCUUUAUUUGUUGACUGCUCCAACUCAUUUUUUUUUACCUCAAAUUAGUCCUUUUUGAAGUUCCCAUUGGCAAGCCAUUCUCAUAUUUUCAUAUAGUAUUUCAUCCCAGGUCUGGUAAGUCUACACUACCUACUCAGAUGAAUAUGUUUAAAGGAAAAGAACAUGUCCCAACCUCAACCACCAUGUUACUUUAUCUUCCUCUUUUAACAUUUCCCUUUCUUCUGGGGACAACAUAUCAAAAACACUUAGUCUAUGAAAUGAACACAAGUCAGACACAGACAUAGACGCAGUGAUCGGUUCAGAACCUGAGUAGACAUUGCUCUAUAGUAUAUAGUCAGAAAACACAAUACAUUGUUGGAGAUGUCUGAGGCCAUUCAUGACAAGCCAGAUGUGACCAAGAAAGUCAAGUUUGACAGAAGUGAAGCUGAGGAGAGGAUUGUGGACAUCUACGGCAGUGCAGACACAGAGGGACCAUGAGACCAGCCCCAAGACAAAGAGGUAGAAGACACUUCUCCAAAGAACGGACCGGGAGGUCAACCUAACUCGCACACACACACACACACACACACACACACACACACACACACACACACACACACACACACACACACACACACACACACACACACACACACACACACACACACACACACACACACACACACACACACACACACACA